rnacentral:lncRNA from 1 species
GGGGGGGGUAAACAAGCUGUUUUUACAUGAUUUUCGUGGGAUUUUACCACCUAGCACCACUAGGGUUGUUUCUCACUAUUUUAAAGUGUUUUUAGUGUGUUUUGAAGCAUUUUAGUGUGUUUUGAAAGAAAAUACGAAAAUUUGAAAAAAAAAAUAGAAAACGUUUUGAAAAACCCAAAAAGAGUCAUUUUAGAGUCGUUUUUGUGUGUUUGUUUGUGUCUUAGGGUACCUUCCAACAAAAUGAUGAGGAUUUGGUUUUUAAUUACAUGACUAUUAAAGAAAGUUACAAACAUGGAUGGAAGUUUGAUAUGCUCUUUGGUUUAUGCUUGGUUUUAGUUGUCAUUUACGAAUUCACAUGUAAUCACAAAGGAAAAAAAUCAGUUUUAGUAACCCUGAGAGACUUGAGCCUAAACAUUGUUAGGAGAGUUAUUAAUCUUUGAAGUUCUUGUUUUCUAAAGUCGUUGCAUGAUCUCAUUAUUCUUUGCUUGCUUGCUACUUAGAAUUCAUUUUAUCACUUUAGUCCCAAAUACUAGAACUCAUGCCCGUUUCAUUCAAAGCUUAAAAUUGAAUGCGUAACAUAUAACGAGAUGAAGUUGUUUAGUAGUUACCAACA